rnacentral:rRNA from 1 species
UUCCUUGAACCGCAUGGUUCAAGGAUGAAAGACGUGUUUCGGCUGUCACUUACAGAUGGACCCGCGGCGCAUUAGCUAGUUGGUGGGGUAAUGGCUCACCAAGGCGACGAUGCGUAGCCGACCUGAGAGGGUGAUCGGCCACACUGGGACUGAGACACGGCCCAGACUCCUACGGGAGGCAGCAGUAGGGAAUCUUCCGCAAUGGACGAAAGUCUGACGGAGCAACGCCGCGUGAGUGAUGAAGGUUUUCGGAUCGUACGCAAGCUCUGUUGUUAGGGAAGAACAAGUGCGAGAGUAACUGCUCGCACCUUGACGGUACCUAACCAGAGGAAGCCACGGCUAACUACGUGCCAGCAGCCGCGGUAAUACGUAGGUGGCAAGCGUUGUCCGGAAUUAUUGGGCGUAAAGGGCUCGCAGGCCGCAAGGUUUCUUAAGUCUGAUGUGAAAGCCCCCGGCUCAGACCGGGGAGGGUCAUUGGAAACUGGGAAACUUGAGUGCAGAAGAGGAGAGUGGAAUUCCACGUGUAGCGGUGAAUAUGCGUAGAGAUGUGGAGGAACACCAGUGGCGAAAGGCGACUCUCUGGUCUGUAACUGACGCU